GACGAACGCUGGCGGCGUGCCUAAUACAUUCAAGUAGAACGAAGAUGCGAACGGGUGAGUAACGCGUAGGUAACUGCCUGGUAGCGGGGGAUAACUAUUGGAAACGAUAGCUAAUACCGCAUACUACCAGAUGGACCUGCGUUGUAUUAGCUAGGUGGUGAGGUAACGGCUAACCAAGGCAACGAUACAUAGCCGACCUGGGGUGGUGGUCGGCCACAACGGGACUGAGACACGGCCCAGAAUCCUGACGGAGGCAGCAGUAGGGAAUCCUCGGCAAUGGGGGGAACCGUGACCGAGCAACGCCGGUUGAGUGAAGGAAGUUUUCGGAGCGUAAAGCUCUGUUGUUAAGAGAGCGGUAUUUAAACAGAAAGGGACGGCUAACUACGUGCCAGCAGCCGCGGUAAUUC
rnacentral:rRNA from 1 species